GGUCUGAGAGGAUGAUCAGUCACAUUGGGACUGAGACACGGCCCAAACUCCUACGGGAGGCAGCAGUGGGGAAUAUUGGACAAUGGGCGCAAGCCUGAUCCAGCCAUGCCGCGUGAGUGAUGAAGGCCCUAGGGUUGUAAAGCUCUUUCACCGGUGAAGAUAAUGACGGUAACCGGAGAAGAAGCCCCGGCUAACUUCGUGCCAGCAGCCGCGGUAAUA
rnacentral:rRNA from 1 species